GACGUAGGGUGCGAGCGUUGUCCGGAUUUAUUGGGCGUAAAGAGCUCGUAGGCGGCUUGUCGCGUCGACCGUGAAAACUCGCAGCUCAACUGCGAGCCUGCGGUCGAUACGGGCAGGCUAGAGUUCGGUAGGGGAGACUGGAAUUCCUGGUGUAGCGGUGGAAUGCGCAGAUAUCAGGAGGAACACCGGUGGCGAAGGCGGUUCUCUGGGCAUUACCUGACGCUGAGGAGCGAAAGCAUGGGGAGCGAACAGG
rnacentral:rRNA from 1 species